CUUUCAAAUCACUUACUUGAGUUACCUUCAUUCAAUUACCGCUUAGUAGGACACUCUCUUAACUUUCAUAACUUUCAUACUCUUUGGGCUUCUCGCCAAUGCGUCCUUCGCCCACUUAUCUCAUAACUAUAUAAACAUCAACGGCAAAACGACGUCCCCGACGUCAGUGGUUAGUCGAAAAUGGUAGAGGAAAAGGUAAGGAACAAAACCCAAGUGCUGGCUUCACCGGAAACCGGCGAAAUCACGGCGAAUCGAGGCGGCGAUUCCGCGGAACUUCAAAGCUUUGAUCGGUGGCUUUCCGAUCGAUUUCCGGCGGCAAGGACGGCAUGGAUACGUUGCUCGUCUCUUAAGCUUCAAAUCGGUACCAACCUUGACCGGAACGGUGGCCGGAAAUGGGAGAACCGGCCAGGUCGCGCUCGCAGGUCGGGUUGGAUCCGGUUCGGUUUCUCUUCUCUCUUUCCUUUCUCUCUCUCUCUCUCUCUCAAUUUAUAUGGGUGGUCAACAGGGUCAAAAUCAGGUGUGGGGUAUUACAAACUCCCCCCCUACAAAGAAUUUCGUCCUCGAAAUUCACUUGUAGUCAUGCUCACAGAAUUUAAACCUCAAGAAUUACUUAUGAUCUAUAAAUCCUUAUAAAGAUCAAAACCAACCAUAUCACACUGUCACUGCGCUACUCUGAUACCUCAAAAAUAUAUCGUUCUUAGUAACAGAAUCACAAGUCCUAACGGUUUGGCAUAGACUUAAUUCUAAUCGUCCUUGAAAUAUAUUUCCCAAGCGAUGGCGAAUGUGACUUCCAUCCGCACAUUUUCAGUUGGGAAUGCUCUGAUACCAUUUGUAACGACCCGUCCCGACCUCCACAGGGCGAAUCUUACUGAUAGAUGUUUAAAAAUAAAAUAAUAAUAAAUAAGAAUAAUCCUUUUACAAUCCAUAAAAAUCAUAUCCUUGAAAAUACAAAUAUAAAACGCAAACUGCAGUGGAAGAAUUUAAAAUUCAUGCCAAACCAUCUAAUUUCUCCAUUUAAGUUCUUCUCGACGCUCAUCACGAAUCAAUCCUGAUUUACAGAAACUGAAUCACAAUAAAGUAUAAUGAGUACGAAACUCAGUAAGUAAACUAGUUUUGCAUAUACCAAAAUACAUACAUACAUAUAUAUAGUGCACAUGAAUGACGUGCCAUGAUAUUCGAAAACAUCGUAAAACAAAUCAUCGAAAUCUCAUUCUGUCUUUCUCAAACUUUCACAAUCUCUUUCAAAUCACUUACUUGAGCUACCUUCAUUCAAUUACCGCUUAGUAGGACACUCUCUUAACUUUUAUAACUUUCAUACUCUUUGGGCUUCUCGCCAAUGCGUCCUUCACCCACUUAUCUCAUAACUAUAUAAACAUCAACGGCAAAACGACGUCCCCGGCGUCAGUGGUUAGUCGGAAAUGGCAGAGGAAAAGGUAAGGAACAAAACCCAAGUGCUGGCUUCACCGGAAACCGGCGAAAUCACGGCGAAUCGAGGCGGCGAUUCCGCGGAACUUCAAAGCUUUGAUCGGUGGCUUUCCGAUCGAUUUCCAGCGGUAAGGACGGCAUGGAUACGUUGCUCGUCUCUCAAGCUUCAAAUCGGUACCAACCUUGACCGGAACGGUGGCCGGAAAUAGGAGAACCGGCCGGGUCGUGCUCGCAGGUCGGGUUGGAUCCGGUUCGGUUUCUCUUCUCUCUCUCUCUCUCAAUUUAUAUGGGUGGUCAACAGGGUCAAAAUCGGGUGUGGGGCAUUACAAACUCCCCCCCUUCAAAGAAUUUCGUCCUCGAAAUUCACUUGUAGUCAUGCUCACAGAAUUUAAACCUCAAGAAUUACUUGUGAUCUAUAAAUCCUUAUAAAGAUCAAAACCAACCAUAUCACACUGUCGCUGCGCUACUCUGAUACCUCAAAAAUAUAUCGUUCUUAGUAACAGAAUCACAAGUCCUAAUGGUUUGGCAUAGACUUAAUUCUAAUCAUCCUUGAAAUAUAUUUCCCAAGCGAUGGCGAAUGUGACUUCCAUCCGCACAUUUUCGGUUGGGAAUGCUCUGAUACCAUUUGUAACGACCCGCCCCGACCUCCACAGGGCAAAUCUUACUGAUAGAUGUUUAAAAAUAAAAUAAUAAUAAAUAAGAAUAAUCCUUUUACAAUCCAUAAAAAUCAUAUCCUUGAAAAUACAAAUAUAAAACGCAAACUGCAGCAGAAGAAUUUAAAAUUCAUGCCAAACCAUCUAAUUUCUCCAUUCAAGUUCUUCUCGACGCUCAUCACGAAUCAAUCCUGAUUUACGGAAACUGAAUCACAAUAAACUAUAAUGAGUACGAAACUCAGUAAGUAAACUAGUUUUGCAUAUACCAAAAUACAUACAUACAUAUAUAUAGUGCACAUGAAUGACGUGCCAUGAUAUUCGAAAACAUCGUAAAACAAAUCAUCGAAAUCUCAUUCUGUCUUUCUCAAACUUUCACAAUCUCUUUCAAAUCACUUACUUGAACUACUUUCAUUCAAUUACCGCUUAGUAGGACACUCUCUUAACUUUCAUAACUUUCAUACUCUUUGGGCUUCUCGCCAAUGCGUCCUUCGCCCACUUAUCUUAAAACUAUAUAAACAUCUAGAGUAUCCUCCACUAAGCCAGUAACUAAUUCAAGCAUCCAAGCUAAAACUAUAAAACAAUCUUUCUUUCUUCAAAUUUCGUUUGCUAAAAUCAACUUUCUCAUUUUACAGAAAAUAUAAUGCAUUUUUGUGCUCAUGCCAAUGAAAUAUUCACACAUACGUAUGCCCAUGUCCAUAAAUACACAUAACAACAUAUCAUAUCAACACAUCACAUAAACACAUGGGCAAAACAUAUAAAUCAAUAUUCGGACAUAUACAAAAAUAGGCUUUUCAAACAUGUCAAACAUAUAUAUUGUUUAUUGUGAUUCGUUUGGAAAUCUAAUUUACUUACCUCCUGGCAUCCUCGAGUAACAAAUGCAUAUCGUUAUCAUCGGCGUAAAAAUAAAUAAAAAUACUCUCAUAAGAAUAAAAUUAAACCAUAAUCAUAAACUCCAAUAUUCUCAAAUUCUCAAUAUAAUCACAUUCCAUACUUAACCUCAAAUAAUCUUAAUUUAAAUCAUAAAUCAUCAAAAUACUCAUAAUUCUUGAAAUUACGAAAUUACCCCCAAAUUUCAAAAUUACCAAAAUGCCCUUGAAUUCAAUAUUACCAAAAUACCCUCAUAUAUCAAAAUUACCAAAUUAACCUCAAAAUCAUAAAUUACCAACUUUAUCCUCAAUUUCAGCAAUUACUAAAAUACCCACAAAAUCUGAAAUUACAAAAUUGCCCUUAGACUGUGAAAUUGCCGAAAUACCCUUGCCGGUCAACGGUCACCGGAAUUUGGUCAACACUGGCCAGGAAGCUCAAAUCUUAAAGUGCUAAUCACGCUGAGUUCAAUGGUGGCGGUGAUGACCUCCCACGCGCGGUGAUGGCUCCGGAUUGAGCUCCCGAAGUCGUGAAACUGUCAACGGCCGAUCAAUGGCAAAACGACGUCCCCGGCGUCAGUGGUUAGUCAGAAAUGGCAGAGGAAAAGGUAAGGAACAAAACCCAAGUACUGGCUUCACCGGAAACCGGUGAAAUCACGGCGAAUCGAGGCGGCGAUUCCGCGGAACUUCAAAGCUUCGAUCGGUGGCUUUCCGAUCGAUUUCCGGCGGCAAGGACGGCAUGGAUACAUUGCUCGUCUCUCAAGCUUCAAAUCUGUACCAACCUUGACCGGAACGGUGGCCGGAAAUGGGAGAACCAGCCGGGUCGUGCUCGCGGGUCGGGUUGGAUCCGGUUCGGUUUCUCUUCUCUCUCUCUUCUCUUCUCU
rnacentral:lncRNA from 1 species